AAAAUACUCCCUCCGUCCAGAAAUAUUUGUCCAAAAAAUAAAUAUAAUGAAUGUAUCUAUAACUAAAAUAAUUCUAGGUACAUUCAUCCCUAGGACAAGUAUUUCCGGACGGAGGAAGUAAUUG
rfam:Hordeum vulgare subsp. vulgare, WGS project CAJW01000000 data, contig: morex_contig_44355